GUCAAAACAAAUGAAGCUACAUGCAGCAGUACGCAUGAAUCUCAACAACACAAUUGUGACAAAAGUGAAAUACAAAAGGACAGUUGGGAUUUGGAGACUAGGAUGAACAGGUGAAAUACACAUCUAUUAGGCAUUCCAGAAAGCAAAACGGAGAGAUGCAAGAGCAUGAUUUAGAGAACAAAGGGAGGGAGGGAAUGUUCAAGGCCAUAAUGGCUGAGGAUUUCCCAGUAUUGAAGAUAAACAUAAGACCUUGGAUUAAAGAAAUAUACCAAGUUCCAAACAGGCUUUGUCAAGAUCCUCUCCUUUCUUUCUCCUGGCACUGCCUUGCCUGGUAACCCUAUUCGGGGCCCUACGAUGACCGUCCACGGUACUCUGCACUGGACUUGGCAUUUCCUUAUAUUAGAUGGUCGACCAGUUGCAAGAAAAUGACCCUUUUCCUGUCUGCAAUUCCCUUGCACUAUGGGGCACAAGAGGCCUAGCUUUCAGCCUGUCUUGGCUUUUAAGAUGUUUUCCCCACUACACUGAAUCAUUUCUAGGUACCAAUUUAAGGAAAUAAGGAAGGCCAAGGAGAGGGACAGAGAUGCAAGAAUAGCCAUUCGGUGGGCCGGUCUGAACGUAACAUUUGUUGAUUAAGUUCACUGUCUGACAUGGGCGUGAUUUAUGGUGCCCCCCAAACCAUUACAGUAGCAACAGCGAAGAUCCCUGGUCACCAUAACAAAUAUAGUGAUGAUGAAAAAGUUGGGAAUAUUGCAAGAAUUAUCAAAAUGUGACACAGAGACAUGAAGAGAGCAAAUGCUAUUGGGAAAAUGGCACUGAUAGACCCUCUCGAUGCAGAGUUGCCGCAGACCUACAAUUUGUCAAAACAAAACAACAUAAAAACCCCACAGUAUCUGCAAAGUGCAAUAAAAUGAAGCACAGUCAAAUGAGAUAUGUUUGUGUAUUAAAUCCUUCUUAGAUGCCAUUUAAACUUGCCUUUUACCCCAAGGCUGAUAGAAGCUGAAGUUUUAGCAACUCUAAGCCCCUUUAAAGAUUGAUUGAUUGAUUUGAUUUGAUUUGAUUUUAAACAGAGAGAGAGAGCAUGGGGGGGAGGGAGCCAGAAUUUCAAGCAGACUCUACGUUGAGGACAGAAACAGAAGCAAGGCUUGAUCUCACGACCCUUAGAUCAUAACCUGAGCCUAAACCAAGAGUCAGACACGUAACCCACUGUACCACCCAGGGGCCCCUAAACCCCUUUAGAAGAGAUGAUUCUAGGGAAAAAAAGGUUCUGUAAUUCUGUACAGUGACAGGUGUAAACGAGAUGUAUUGUGGUGUUCAUUUGCAAAUAUCCAUGCAUUACGUUGUAUACCUGCAACAAAUAUAACGUUGUAUGUCGUUUAUACCUCAAUAAAGAAAUAAAGAAAAGAGAUGAACACAUCAUAAAAUCCAAGCUUAGAAAAGACUUCAGAAAGAAUCUAUUCUGGCUUAACCUUUUUGGUUUACAGGUAGAGGAACUGAGGUCUGGACAGGCAAAUGAUGUAUUAUUCCUUUCACAUAUUUUUGAAUUUCAUUUUCUAAUAUUUUGUUAAGGAUUUUUGAGUUUAUGUUCAUGAGGAAUACGGCUCCAGUUUUCUUGUACUGUCUUUGGUUUUGGUAUCAGGGCGAUUCUGAAUUUAUUAGACUAAAAUGAGGCGAAAGGUGUUCCCUACCUUUUGUAUUUCCUGUAAAAUUUGUGUUGAAUUCAUAGUAUUUUUCCUGUAACCGUUUGUUUGAAUUCUUAGAUGAAAUUUUGUGGGCCUGGGGUCUUCAUUACGGGAAGAUUUUUA